GGACCCGCACAAGUAGUGGAGCAUGUGGUUUAAUUCGAAGAUACGCGCAGAACCUUACCAACACUUGACAUGUUCGUCGCGACUUUAAGAGAUUAAAGUUUUCGGUUCGGCCGGACGAAACACAGGUGCUGCAUGGCUGUCGUCAGCUCGUGUCGUGAGAUGUUGGGUUAAGUCCCGCAACGAGCGCAACCCUCACUUUUAGUUGCCAUCAUUUGGUUGGGCACUCUGAAAGAACUGCCAGUGAUAAGCUGGAGGAAGGUGGGGAUGACGUCAAGUCCUCAUGGCCCUUAUGACCUGGGCUACAAACGUGAUACAAUGGCUAUUACAGAGGGCCGCAAAGCUGUGAAUACGUUCCCGGGCCUUGUACACACCGCCCGUCAAGCCAUGGAAGCUGGGGUACCUGAAGUCGGUAACCGAAAGGAGCUGCCUAGGG
rnacentral:rRNA from 1 species